GAAGUACCAGUGGUAAGGGAUUUCCCCGAUGUAUUUCCAGAAGAGUUGCCCGGCAUGCCACCGGAUAGAGACAUUGAGUUCUUAAUUGAACUACUGCCAGGCAUUGGGCCUAUAUCCAAGAGACCGUACAGGAUGCCAGCCCAAGACUUGGAGGAAAUCAAGAAGCAGAUUAAGGAGUUGUUGGAUAAAGGUUUUAUUCGCCCAAGUUCUUCGCCUUGGGGAUCGCCAGUACUUCUGGUGGAAAAGAAGGAUGGAUCGUUAAGAAUGGUUGUUGAUUAUCGCGGAUUGAAUGAAGUAACAAUCAAGAACAAG
rnacentral:rRNA from 1 species